rnacentral:rRNA from 1 species
UAGGGAAUCUUCGGCAAUGGGGGCAACCCUGACCGAGCAACGCCGCGUGAGUGAAGAAGGUUUUCGGAUCGUAAAGCUCUGUUGUAAGUCAAGAACGAGUGUGAGAGUGGAAAGUUCACACUGUGACGGUAGCUUACCAGAAAGGGACGGCUAACUACGUGCCAGCAGCCGCGGUAAUACGUAGGUCCCGAGCGUUGUCCGGAUUUAUUGGGCGUAAAGCGAGCGCAGGCGGUUUGAUAAGUCUGAAGUUAAAGGCUGUGGCUCAACCAUAGUUCGCUUUGGAAACUGUCAAACUUGAGUGCAGAAGGGGAGAGUGGAAUUCCAUGUGUAGCGGUGAAAUGCGUAGAUAUAUGGAGGAACACCGGUGGCGAAAGCGGCUCUCUGGUCUGUAACUGACGCUGAGGCUCGAAAGCGUGGGGAGCGAACAGGAUUAGAUACCCUGGUAGUCCACGCCGUAAACGAUGAGUGCUAGGUGUUGGAUCCUUUCCGGGAUUCAGUGCCGCAGCUAACGCAUUAAGCACUCCGCCUGGGGAGUACGACCGCAAGGNUG